AACAAUAAUAGCAGAGACUGAGAGCACAUAAUUGACCUCUCUAUAUAUGGGGGGGGAUAAACAUGCAAAGAUGAAGAGUAGUGGAUUUUUGUUUGACACUUGUUUUUGUCAAGUUUUUAUUUAAGAAACUUAUUUUAUCAAUUUAGUGAGUUUUUUAUGAAUAAAGCUGAUAUAAAGAGUUGCUAUACUACAACAACUAGAGAAAGAACAUACAGAACAAAUACAAAUUCAACUCGGAGCAAUUACAAGAAUAUUUUUAUAUACAACAAACUGAGCCUUGGUUGAGUUCCAACUUGAAAGAUCCAUCGUCAACAAGUUCGUGGCCAAGGAUUUUGGAGCAUAGUCACAAAGAGCAUCUUAGAUUUAGACGCAUUGAAGGAAAGGUUGCUAGCCAAUGGAUCUCUAUUGGGAGAAUUACAUUGACAACAUUCAAACCAAAGAAUUAUGAGUUCCAUGUUGUGUUAUAACAUCUCUUAGUUUAGUAUUGUUGGAUUCUUCUGUGAGAAUUAGAACCAAUUCAAUGAAUAAAUAGACACAAUUAAUUAGUAUUAAAAGUGACUGAAAGAGAAUUUAUAAAUUAGAGUAAACUAAGUGA
rnacentral:lncRNA from 1 species